rnacentral:rRNA from 1 species
CCCCUAGAUGUUCUGGGCCGCACGCGCGCUACACUGAACAGUUCAACAAGUCUUAACCUUGGCCGAAAGGUCUGGGUAAUCUUUGAACGCUGUUCGUGAUUGGGAUAGACCUUUGCAAUUAUGGGUCUUCAACGAGGAAUUCCUAGUAAACGCAAGUCAUCAGCUUGCAUUGAUUACGUCCCUGCCCUUUGUACACACCGCCCGUCGCACCUACCGAUUGAAUGGUCCGGUGAAAUCUCGGGACGGCGGCUUGGUCGCUUGCGUCCGACUGCUGAAACUUGAUUAAACCAUAUCAUUUAGAGGAAGGUGAANUCGUAACA